rnacentral:rRNA from 1 species
GAUGAACGCUGGCGGCGUGCUUAACACAUGCAAGUCGAACGAUGAAGCCCAGCUUGCUGGGUGGAUUAGUGGCGAACGGAUGAGUAACACGUGAGUAACCUGCCCUUAACUCUGGGAUAAGCCUGGGAAACUGGGUCUAAUACCGGAUAGGAGCGCCUACCGCAUGGUGGGUGUUGGAAAGAUUUAUCGGUUUUGGAUGGACUCGCGGCCUAUCAGCUUGUUGGUGAGGUAAUGGCUCACCAAGGCGACGACGGGUAGCCGGCCUGAGAGGGUGACCGGCCACACUGGGACUGAGACACGGCCCAGACUCCUACGGGAGGCAGCAGUGGGGAAUAUUGCACAAUGGGCGAAAGCCUGAUGCAGCGACGCCGCGUGAGGGAUGACGGCCUUCGGGUUGUAAACCUCUUUCAGUAGGGAAGAAGCGAAAGUGACGGUACCUGCAGAAGAAGCACCGGCUAACUACGUG